AUAAGCUACUAAGGGCUAACGGCGAAUGCCUUGGCAUCGGGAGGCGAUGAAGGACGCGGCAAGCUGCGAUAAGCUUCGGGGAGCUGUUAACAAGCUUUGAUCCGAAGAUUUCCGAAUGGGGCAACCCGGCAGGAGUCAUAUCCUGUCAUUCUCAUCUGAAUACAUAGGAUGAGGAAGCGAACGCGGGGAACUGAAACAUCUAAGUACCUGCAGGAAAAGAAAUCAAUUGAGAUUCCGUCAGUAGCGGCGAGCGAACGCGGAUCAGCCCACCUGAGCGAUAUGGAUAUGAAAUAGAUAGUGGAAUGGUAUGGAAAGGCCGACCACAGACGGUGAUAGUCCGGUACACGAAAUCUAUUUCUACCUAGCUCGAAAGAGUACCACGGGACACGUGAAACCCUGUGGGAACAUGGGAGGACCAUCUUCCAAGGCUAAAUACUACCCGAUGACCGAUAGUGAACGAGUACCGUGAGGGAAAGGUGAAAAGAACCCCGGGAGGGGAGUGAAAUAGAAACUGAAACCGUUAGCUUACAAGCAGUGGGAGCACCAUGUAUAGCAGGUGUGACCGCGUGCCUUUUGCAUAAUGAGUCAACGAGUUAUCCUGUGCAGCGAGGUUAAGCCGCGAGGCGGAGCCGCAGCGAAAGCGAGUCUUAAUAGGGCGCAGACGAUAAUUUCCUUUGGAAAUAAUCGGAGUUGUAUGGGGUAGACCCGAAACCGGGUGAUCUAUCCAUGGCCAGGGUGAAGUCUCGGUAACACGAGAUGGAGGCCCGAACCGAUAUAGGUUGAAAACUGUUCGGAUGAGCUGUGGAUAGGAGUGAAAGGCUAAUCAAACUCGGUAAUAGCUGGUUUUCUCCGAAAUAUAUUUAGGUAUAGCCUCAUAUGAUGACUAGCGGAGGUAGAGCACUGACAAGGCUAGGGGUCCCACCGGACUACCAACCCUUUUCAAACUCCGAAUGCCGCUAAGUUCAAGUAUGGGAGUCAGACUGUGGGAGAUAAGUUCCAUGGUCGAAAGGGAAACAGCCCAGACCGUCAGCUAAGGUCCCUAAAUCUAUGCUCAGUGGGAAAGGAGGUGGAAUUGUGAAUACAACCAGGAGGUUGGCUUAGAAGCAGCAACCCUUUAAAGAAAGCGUAAUAGCUCACUGGUCUAAUGAAUCUGCGCCGAAAAUGUAACGGGGCUAAGCAUAGUACCGAAGCUACGGGUAUCAGAAGACAGAGUACAGAUGACAGAAGACAGAGUAAAGAUUUCCUCAUUUGAGGAUCUGGAAGUUUUUCAAAUUGCUUACAAGGUUUCCUUGGAACUCCAUAGGGAGAGUCUUGGAUUUCCGAGGCAUGAGCAAUAUGGAUUAGCAGAUCAGAUUCGAAAAGCGAGCAAGUCGAUAUGUGCAAAUCUUGCCGAAGGAUUUGGCAAGCAGAAUCUUUCCAACAAGGAAUUCAAGCGCUACAUAGCGAUUGCUUUAGGAUCAAGUGAUGAGAUGCGAGUCUGGCUUCGUUAUUGUCUCGAUCUUGGAUAUAUCCAAGAAAAGGAAUGGCAGCAUUAUAGAGACAGCUAUCAGCAGAUCUCGAAGAUGCUCCAGGGAUUACACAGAAGUUGGAAAUAGUUGUGCCGCAGGCGCGCAAGCGCCGCACUAUUUCGUCCUCUGUCCUUUGUCCUCUGUCUUCUGAUGCGGUAGGAGAACAUUGUGGUCGCCUGAGAAGACGUACCGUAAGGAGCGUUGGAGGUUCCACAAGAGCUUAUGUUGACACGAGUAGCGAUAAUGAGGGUGAGAAACCCUCACGCCGAAAGCCUAAGGUUUCCUGUAGUCAAGUUAAUCUGCUCAGGGUUAGUCGGCUCCUAAGGCGAGGCCGAGAGGCGUAGUCGAUGGGAAACAGGUUAAUAUUCCUGUACCACUGUUAUGAUGUUUGAUGAUAAGGGAGGACGGAGAAGGAUAGGCCAUCCGGCUGUUGGAUUAGCCGGUUCAAGCGUGUAGGUGGAGUGUUUUGGUAAAUCCGGACACUCAUUCAACACUGAGGCGUGAUGACGAUGUCUUAAAUGACAACAAAGUGGUUGAUUCCCUGCUUCCAGGAAAAGCCUCGUAUCUAGUUAUAAUGGUGACCGUACCGUAAACCGACACAGGUAGGCUGGUAGAGAAUACCAAGGCGCUUGAGAGAACUCUGGUUAAGGAACUCGGCAAAAUAGCACCGUAACUUCGGGAGAAGGUGUGCCUGCAUGGUGAAGUUAUUUGACUUUCUGAGCCAAGUCAGGUUGCAGUGAAAUGGGGGGAGCGACUGUUUACUAAAAACACAGGACUCUGCGAAGUCGAAAGACGAAGUAUAGGGUCUGACGCCUGCCCGGUGCCGGAAGGUUAAGGGGACCUGUCAGCUCACGCGAAGCAGUGAACCGAAGCCCCGGUAAACGGCGGCCGUAACUAUAACGGUCCUAAGGUAGCGAAAUUCCUUGUCGGGUAAGUUCCGACCUGCACGAAUGGCGUAACGAUUUCCCCACUGUCUCAACCAGAGACUCAGCGAAACUGUAGUACCGGUGAAGAUGCCGGUUACCCGCAACAAGACAGAAAGACCCCGUGAACCUUUACUACAGCUUGGCAUUGGUUUUUGAGGUAACAUGUGUAGGAUAGGUGGGAGACUUUGAAGUGGGCACGCCAGUGUUCAUGGAGUCACCCUUGAAAUACCACCCUUGUUAUCUUAGGAAUCUAACUGCGGUCCGUAAUCCGGAUCCAGGACAUUGUCUGGUGGGUAGUUUGACUGGGGCGGUCGCCUCCUAAAGCGUAACGGAGGCGCGCGAUGGUUCCCUCAGGCUGAUUGGAAACCAGCCGUAGAGUGUAAAGGCAUAAGGGAGCUUGACUGCGAGAGAGACAUUUCGAGCAGGUAGGAAACUAGGUCUUAGUGAUCCGGCGAUUCCGCAUGGAAGGGUCGUCGCUCAACGGAUAAA
rnacentral:rRNA from 1 species